rnacentral:rRNA from 1 species
UACGUAGGGUGCAAGCGUUGUCCGGAAUUAUUGGGCGUAAAGGGCUCGUAGGCGGUUUGUCGCGUCGGGAGUGAAAUCCACUGGCUUAACUGGUGGCUUGCUUUCGAUACGGGCAGACUGGAGGUAUGCAGGGGAGAACGGAACUCCUGGUGUAGCGGUGAAAUGCGCAGAUAUCAGGAGGAACACCGGUGGCGAAGGCGGUUCUCUGGGCAUGUCCUGACGCUGAGGAGCGAAAGUGUGGGGAGCGAACAGG